UUGACGUUAGCGACAGAAGAAGCACCGGCUAACUCCGUGCCAGCAGCCGCGGUAAUACGGAGGGUGCGAGCGUUAAUCGGAAUUACUGGGCGUAAAGCGCAUGCAGGUGGUUUGUUAAGUCAGAUGUGAAAGCCCGGGGCUCAACCUCGGAAUAGCAUUUGAAACUGGCAGACUAGAGUACUGUAGAGGGGGGUAGAAUUUCAGGUGUAGCGGUGAAAUGCGUAGAGAUCUGAAGGAAUACCGGUGGCGAAGGCGGCCCCCUGGACAGAUACUGACACUCAGAUGCGAAAGCGUGGGGAGCAAACAGGAUUAGAUACCCUGGUAGUCCACGCCGUAAACGAUGUCUACUUGGAGGUUGUGGCCUUGAGCCGUGGCUUUCGGAGCUAACGCGUUAAGUAGACCGCCUGGGGAGUACGGUCGCAAGAUUAAAACUCAAAUGAAUUGACGGGGGCCCGCACAAGCGGUGGAGCAUGUGGUUUAAUUCGAUGCAACGCGAAGAACCUUACCUACUCUUGACAUCCAGAGAACUUUCCAGAGAUGGAUUGGUGCCUUCGGGAACUCU
rnacentral:rRNA from 1 species